rnacentral:rRNA from 1 species
AGUGGCGGACGGGUGAGUAACGCGUGAGAAUCUGCCUUCAGGUCGGGGACAACAGAGGGAAACUUCUGCUAAUCCCGGAUGAGCCUUAGGGUAAAAAAUUUAUUGCCUGGAGAUGAGCUCGCGUCUGAUUAGCUAGUUGGUAAGGUAAAAGCUUACCAAGGCAACGAUCAGUAGCUGGUCUGAGAGGAUGAGCAGCCACACUGGGACUGAGACACGGCCCAGACUCCUACGGGAGGCAGCAGUGGGGAAUUUUCCGCAAUGGGCGAAAGCCUGACGGAGCAAGACCGCGUGGGGGAGGAAGGCUCUAGGGUUGUAAACCCCUUUUCUUUGGGAAGAACAAAAUGACGGUACCAAAGGGAUCAGCCUCGGCUAACUCCGUGCCAGCAGCCGCGGUAAUACGGAGGAGGCAAGCGUUAUCCGGAAUGAUUGGGCGUAAAGCGUCCGCAGGUGGCAAUGUAAGUCUGCUGUCAAAACCCAGGGCUCAACUCUGGUCAGGCAGUGGAAACUACAUAGCUAGAGUUCGGUAGGGGCAAAGGGAAUUCCCGGUGUAGCGGUGAAAUGCGUAGAGAUCGGGAAGAACAUCGGUGGCGAAAGCGCUUUGCUAGACCGAAACUGACACUCAGGGACGAAAGCUAGGGGAGCGAAUGGGAUUAGAUACCCC